rnacentral:rRNA from 1 species
AUUGAACGCUGGUGGCAUGCUUUACACAUGCAAGUCGAACGGUAACAGGUUAAGCUGACGAGUGGCGAACGGGUGAGUAAUGCAUCGGAACGUGCCCGGUCGUGGGGGAUAACGCAGCGAAAGCUGCGCUAAUACCGCAUACGAUCUGAGGAUGAAAGCGGGGGACCGUAAGGCCCCGCGCGAUCGGAGCGGCCGAUGUCAGAUUAGGUAGUUGGUGGGGUAAAGGCCCACCAAGCCGACGAUCUGUAGCUGGUCUGAGAGGACGGCCAGCCACACUGGGACUGAGACACGGCCCAGACUCCUACGGGAGGCAGCAGUGGGGAAUUUUGGACAAUGGGCGAAAGCCUGAUCCAGCAAUGCCGCGUGCAGGAAGAAGGCCUUCGGGUUGUAAACUGCUUUUGUACGGAGCGAAAAGGUCCUUUCUAAUACAAGGGGCUCAUGACGGUACCGUAAGAAUAAGCACCGGCUAACUACGUGCCAGCCGCCGCAGUAAAAC